rnacentral:rRNA from 1 species
AGAGUUUGAUCCUGGCUCAGGACGAACGCUGGCGGUGUGCUUCACACAUGCAAGUCGAACGGAGUAGCAAUACUCAGAUGGCGGACGGGUGAGUAACACGUGGGAAUCUACCAUUAAUGGGGAAUAACGGCCGAAGGACUGCUAUUGCCGCAUAUGUAUGUGCCUCGACAGGGGUGUAUAUGAAAGGAGUAAUCCGUCUGAUGAUGAGCCCGCGUCCGAUUAGCUAGUUGGUAAGGUAAAAGCUUACCAAGGCGACGAUCGGUAGGUGGUCUGAGAGGAUGAUCACCCACAAUGGGACUGAGACACGGCCCAUACUCCUACGGGAGGCAGCAGUGGGGAAUUUUACGCAAUGGGGGAAACCCUGACGUAGCGACACCGCGUGAGCGAAGAAGCCCUUUGGGGUGUAAAGCUCUGUCAACAGGAACGAAAAAAAUGACGGUACCUGUGGAGGAAGCAUCGGCUAACUACGUGCCAGCAGCCGCGGUAAGACGUAAGAUGCAAGCGUUGUCCGGAUUUAUUGGGCGUAAAGAGUUCGUAAGCGGUUUGUUAAGUCUGAUGUUAACAGACCGGGGGCUUCAACCCUCGGGAAAAU